GUAGUGUCAUUUUGUGCUAUUUUUGUACCUUAACAAUAUUGAUCAGGUAUUGUAAUAGAGAUUUUGAUGAUGAGAAGAUCCUUAUACAGCACCAAAAAGCAAAACAUUUUAAAUGCCAUAUAUGUCAUAAGAAAUUGUACACAGGACCUGGCUUAGCUAUUCAUUGCAUGCAGGUAAGGAUUUUUUUUCUGUCUUUAACUUUUAACCCCUUGUGUGGAAACAACAUGAAAAGAAAUUAUUUUAACAGUUGUAGGGUUUUGUUUAUUGUGAAAGAUUAGAUAUGGUCAGUCAGCUUAAAAAAAAAAAAAACUGUUUUUUGGCCAUUAAGUUAAAUAAUUGAUUUUUUUUUAUGUUUGAAGAAAACUUAUGUUCAUAGUGUUUAUCUUUAAGUUAUUAAUAAUAUUUUUUAUUUUAGACUGGGAACAAGUUGAGGUCCCAGAGUAUCUCCUCAGUGACUUGAGUUAGAGAACAAAGAUCAGUGAUUUAAAUUUUGUGGUCUGACCAGUUCUAAUCCCAUGAGAAUAAUACAUAAUUAGCUACCAUUACUCUCUGCCAUUGAAGGAUUUGUUACAAUUUCUUGCCUGAGGAUAGGCUUACUUCAGUUAUUAUUCCUUGGACCUCUUUUGGAAAGGUAAUGUGUUUCAUUUAAUGAUGUCUGGGUUUCUUGAGCUUUUCACUACUUAGGUAGGGAGAGCUUUGCAAUUUAUGUUUUUAAGGAUCUAGUAAGUGCCUUUAUGUCUUAUUCAACAUUAUUUCUUCUACUUUGGCCAGUCCUGGUGCUACCUGAAUUUUUGCCUAAUUGGACCCUAGAGAGAGAUGAGAUGAGCAAAUCCCUAUUUAUUGGAAACUACUGUUGGUAGGAGGCGGGGAGGUAAAUUAAAAUAAGAUGUUGUUUCCCCUAGUUAAAAAAUAAGUUUAUUUAAAAAAACAAGUUUAUAUAGAUCCUCUUCAGUUAUGUCACUGUAAUAAUAACUUAAUACCCAUUCAGAAAUAUUUUAGGGCCUGCUAUGUGCUCGACCCAUAACUUUCCACUGUGGCAAUCACUAGUUACAUGUGACUACUUAAAAGAAAAUUUAAAAAUUAAAAAUUUAAUUUCUCCACAUUGUAACCACAUUUCCAAUGUUCAGUCACAUGUGGCUGGUGGAUGACUUGUAUUGGAUAGUACUGAUACAGAAAGAAUAUUACAAUUUAUCACAAAAAAUUUCUGUGAAACAGCAUUGUGUUAAGACAAGUGUUUUAGGCACUAGGUGUACAGCAGUGAAGGAAACAGUCACCAUCAUGGAGUUUAGAUUUAUAUUGUGGAAGAAAACACUGCAGUAUUUAGUUUGCCUUUUCACGAUAAGUGAUAGAGAAAGCUAAAACUAGGUAAGAGGCAUAGGUAGGGCCACAAGAUAGGAAAGACCUGAAUGAGAAGCUGACAUCUGAACAGAUCUGAACGGAAAUGAGAGAGAGCUUCCAGAGAACAGCAAAUGAAAGACCCUGACAUACAGGAGCAUUCUUCUAUAUUGAAAAAGAAAGGGGAGCAAUGUGCUUUAUAUAGAAGGGUUUACUUAUUAUAGGCCAUUUUAUUUCAUUCUGAAUGAAAUGCAAGGUUGAAUAGAGAGAGGUGUAGCAUAUUCUGGUACCUUUUCUUUUUCUUUUUUUUUUUUAAAUAAGGAUUCUCCUGGCUAUAGAGUUGCAAAUAGACAGACUGCAGAAUGCAGUGAGAACACUUAGGAUGACUGGAGUAUUCCAGGCAAGAGGUGAUGGUGACAGAGACCAGAAUUUGCUGAUAGAUUUAGAUGCAGAGUAUAAGAAAGUGAGGAGUUGCAGAUUGAUCUGAAGGUUUUUGGCCUGAGGACUGUGAGAAAUGAGUUAUCGUAUACUAAAAUGUUGAAAGCUGCAGGAAGACUAGGCUUAGAGAUGAGGAUGUCACGAUUGUGUUGUGUUGUUAAUUUUGAGACAGGUCUGUUGACUAUCCAGUUGGAAAUGUCAUAUAAACAAUUGUAUCUGUAAGCCUGGACUUCAGAGAGGUUGGAGCUGGAGGUAGAAAUUUGGAAGGAUGCUGUGGUGAGCAUAGCUAUUUUAAUCCAUGAUACUAGAUGUCGUUUCCUAUUAGAGAGUAGAAUAUAGAUCUAGAAUAGGUGCAGGGACUCCAGCUUGGGCCACUCACAGCACUUAACGGUUAGAAGAUUAAAAGAAACCAUUCAAGGACAUUGAAAAGGUAGGAAAUCCAAGAGAGUAGUGCCCUGGAAACCAAAUGAGAUGAUUAAAGGAGUUACUUAACAGUGAAAUGCUGGUGGUAGGUCUAGGAAGAUGAGGACAGAGAUUGGAUUUAAUCAAAGUGGAGGUCAUUGGUCACUUGCCAAGAGUGAUUUCCUAGAGUGAUGAGGAUGAAAGCCUAAUUGGAGUACUCUCAAGAGAAAAUGAGAAAGUAGAGGCACUGUUUCAAGAAGUUGUACUAUAGAGAAGAACAGAGAAAUGGAAUGGAACUGGAAGGAGAUCAGUUGAGAAACUAUUUUAGUGACAUUGUUGAUUGACCAAGUGCUUUUUUUUUUUAUGGUUUUAGUGUAAUUUCACAGCAACCUGUGAAAUGGGCCUGGCAGUUAAAUCAGACACAUCCUCCAAUUUUAUAGAUGAUAAACUUAGGACGUUAGUAAUUUAGAUGGUUCACAUCAGUGCUUGCUCCACCUAUCUUUUCAACCAAGAUCAUCAUUAUUUCUACUAGGCAAGGUUGUAAGAAGUCUAAUUCUGGCUAGGAUAUUGUGAGGUAGUUAAGUAAAUCAUGUUAUUUUUCUUCUCUUUCCAAUAGCUUUUGAUUAGUAUAUUCUUGCCCUUAUCAUUUAGAAAUAUAACAGAAUAGUUAAUGUGUAUGAAUACAAUUUUAUUACUUUGAGGAACAUAGGAGUUCCUUCAUCAGCAUUUGUCAAGCACAGUAACAUGCCAAAAAACCGGUGUGAUUAAGUCCCUUGUUGAGAAGCUUUGUUCAUGGAUCUUUUAAUCACAGUAAGGAACAAUGGUUAAAGAUCAAUCAAAAAUUAAGAUAAUUUCUGAAUUUGAUUUGCAUGUCUCUGUUUAAAGUCUUUGAGAUAUAUGUCUUAAGAAGAAAACACUUAGUUUUCUUUACUUUUCUGUUCUUGCAUGAAAAUGUUUUGGGAGGAAAGAGAAAAUGAGUAUGAGACAAAUAUGUCCCCCAAAGCAGUGGUUCUCAAGCUUGGGCAUGCCUCAGGAUCACCUGCAGGGCAUGUUAAAACAAAUUGCUAGUCUUAACCAAGAGUUUCUGGUGGAGGGGGUGGGAGGCCCCUGAGAAUUUGCAUUUGUAAUGAGCUUUCAGGUGAUGCUGAUAGUCUAGGCAAAAUACUUUGACAUUUUUUUAGCCUAAGUUAAGGCAAGUUGCUGAAGAAACCAAGACUGACAGGAAUUUUACCAUAUUGGCAGAAGUUACCCAUGUUUGAGGGUUAGAAACAUUUGAUCUAGCAAAAACCAUUAGUAAAAAAAAUCGUAGGUUUCCAGUGUUUUAUAAUAAAAUCUCUUUCUCUUUGUAAUCUGUCAAAUUUAGUGUAAUGACAGGAUCACUGCUGUGGCAGUGUUAAGUGCCUCAGGUAACGCAUUAGUUCUGGAUAUGCUAAUUAUAAGUGCCACUUUUGCAAUUUGUAACUACCAGCUUGUCUCAAGAUCAAUCUUGGAAAUUUUAUGUUAAUUCUUCAUAUAGUAAGAACUUUCAUAAGCUGUGCUUAAGUCAGACUUGAACCUUCUCUCAUUUGAGUGGGACUGCUGGUUCAUUGCUGAUAAUUCAAACAAGCCAGAUUACAUGGUAAACAAUGUUUAUUGAGUCCUUACUAUGUGUUAGACAUCCUGCCAAAUGCUUUCUGUAUUCACUAUGUUUUAUUUAACAUAUAUAAUUUAAUACCUGUAACGUAACAGGUAUUAAAUAGUUUUAUAUAUUUACUUACAUAAUUAUAUAAAUUGUAUGAUUUAAUGCAUUUAUUCCUAAAAAUGAUGCUAGAUGUUAGGUAGUGUAUAUAGGUUGGAUAAUCUUAAAUCAGAGGAUUUGCGUAGUCUCACAUACCUAGUAAGUAAGCAACAAAACUGGGGAUUGAAUCCAGAUAGUCUCACCACAGAACAAGUUAUUCUUAAUGAUUAUACUAAGUGUUCUCUGAGUAAUUUCAGAUUGCUCUUAAAGGACUUUAUGAGACACUUUAUCUAAUGGAAGUUUGUUUUAAUGUUAGGUGCAUAAAGAGACAAUAGAUGCUGUACCAAAUGCAAUACCUGGGAGAACAGACAUAGAAUUGGAAAUAUAUGGUAUGGAAGGUAUUCCAGAAAAAGACAUGGAUGAAAGAAGACGACUUCUUGAACAGAAAACGCAGGGUAAACCUUAAGAUGUGUGCUUUUUCUUAACACAGCUUCACUAAUGAGAGUAUUACUACUACUUUGAGGUAUAAAUUUAAUAGUGGAUGUUAUUCAAAAUUCCAAUUUUGAGGGGUUUUUUUAAUACUUAUUUGAGAGAGCAAGCAUGUGCGUGAGUGGGGGAGUGGCAGAGAGAACUCAAUAACUGAGAUGAUGGUCUGAGUUGAAAUCAAGAGAUGCUUAACUGACUUAGCCACCAACACUAUUUUUUUCAAGUUUAUUUUGAGAACAAUGGAGACAACACAAGUGGGGUCGGGGAAGAGAGGGAAUCCUUAGCAGGUUGCAUGCUGUCAGCACAGAGCCCCAUGUGUGGCUCGAAUCCAUGAAACUGAGAUCAUGUUCUGAGCCAAAAUCAAGAUUCAGACGUUCAGCCGACUAAGCACCCCAAGCAUCCUGAGUUUUAUUGUUUCUUAUGUCUUAAUAUUUGAAGUUGUAUAUUUGAUUUGUAUAUAUGUAAUAUCACAUGGAUUAUUCCAAACACUUUAUUAUAAUAUAGUUUUGUUCAUAACUGCAUUCUAAGUGGAAUUAGCAAGUGUUGAGGUUUCUGAAAAUGAAGGUAGCUUGUUUUGAUUUGAUUAUAUAACCACUAAUAGUAAAUUUUUUGGUAAUGCUGUUACUUGACUUGGAAUUUACAAUCACUUAUUAUCCAGAUGGUAGAAGUUAUCAAUUAUGAAAAAAAAAAUUUUUUUUAAGUAAGCUCUACACCCAACGUAAAGCUUGAACUCGUAGCCCUGAGAUCAAGAGUUAAAUGCUCUAUUGACUGAGCAAGCCAAGUGCCCUGAAAGUUUUUGUUUUCGAAAGCAUUGUAGAAAGGUCAGACCUCUUUGUCAUAGUUUACCUUUUGAGAUGGAAUAGAAAGCUGUUUUGUUUUUGUUUUUCAAAAAAAAUGAGGAAAAUUAUUUAAAGUUUACUUCUUUUGAGAAAGAGAGCACAAGCAGGGGAGGGGUAUGGGAGGAGGGACAAGAGAGAAUUUCAAGCAGGCUCUGCACCAUGAGCAUGGAGCUCAUUGUGGGGCUCGAUCUCCCGAACUCCAAGAUUAUGACCUGAGCUGAAGUUGUAUGCUUAACUAAGCCACCCAGGUGCCCCGUAGGAAAAUUAUUUUUUACCUGUCAGAAUAGGGAAAGGAUGUUAACCUUCUUGCUUAAUAGAGAUUGAAAACACAUUUGAAGAGUAAAAAGAAUAAUAUUGACUGAAUUUCUUUGCAAGAAAAAUCUCAUGAGCUAAUUACAGUGAAAUAACUUUUUUUGAUGUUGAAUGUCUUAAGCUUGCUUAGUUUUUUUUUUUUUUUUUUUUUACUUCUUGGGAAAAAUUAAUUAAAACUUUUGUUAGCAGAGAGUCAAAAAAAGAAGCAACAAGAUGAUUCUGAUGAAUAUGAUGAUGAUGACUCUGCAGCUUCAACU
rnacentral:lncRNA from 1 species